AAGAAGAAGAAGAAAAAGAAGAAAGAAUUAUUAGCAAUUAUUAUCUCCUGUGCCGUUCACGAGAGGUACAGGAACUGGAUAUUGAUCCGCAAAAGAAGAGUAAACGCAGCUCUAUUUGUAUUUAUUGAGAAAAAUUCGCAGCUGCCUUUUCUUACUUGGGGCCAUCGUCUCGUGAUGUUGACCUCCUGAUUCAUUUAUAAAUACUCACUGUUAUCGGACACCCACCAACCAAAACUAAAACCUAGCAAAACCCAAGAUAUGGAGAGAUACUCUUGUUCUUCUUCAAGCCAAAUUACACACAUUAUUAUAUUAAUGUGCGUCUUUGUUGUUAUGUCUGUGCAUGGCCAAGGCACUCGUGUUGGUUUCUAUGCUACUACAUGGCCAAGGCACUGAUGGUGAAAUUAGGAAGAUAUGUUCUGCAAUAAACUCAUGAUACUGCCAAGAAUUUCCCAUGCCCGAAAGAAAAACCUGAUCUAAAUCUAGUUCUCAAAAUCGAGAUAUAAAUAUAUGAAUUUUAUCUUGUAUAUUGUAUUUUAAAUUUAAGAUAGACUUGGUCUAAGCAGAACUUUCCAUAUGGGAAUAUUG
rnacentral:misc_RNA from 1 species